rnacentral:rRNA from 1 species
UACAGAGGGGGCAAGCGUUGUUCGGAAUUACUGGGCGUAAAGGGCGCGUAGGCGGCCCGCUAAGUCGAACGUGAAAUCCCCAGGCUCAACCUGGGACCUGCGUCCGAUACUGGCAGGCUUGAAUCCGGGAGAGGGAUGUGGAAUUCCAGGUGUAGCGGUGAAAUGCGUAGAUAUCAGGAGGAAUACCGAUGGCGAAGGCAGGUCUCUGGGCCAAUACUGACGCUCAUGCACGAAAGCGUGGGGAGCAAACAGG